rnacentral:rRNA from 1 species
UACGUAGGUGGCAAGCGUUGUCCGGAAUUAUUGGGCGUAAAGCGCGCGCAGGCGGUCCUUUAAGUCUGAUGUGAAAGCCCACGGCUCAACCGUGGAGGGUCAUUGGAAACUGGGGGACUUGAGUGCAGGAGAGAAGAGUGGAAUUCCAGGUGUAGCGGUGAAAUGCGUAGAUAUCUGGAGGAAUACCGGUGGCGAAGGCGGCAUCCUGGACCGACAUUGACGCUGAACGGCGAAAGCUAGGGGAGCAAACGGG